rnacentral:rRNA from 1 species
AUUGAACGCUGGCGGCAUGCCUAACACAUGCAAGUCGAACGAUUGUCGGCCGGGUGAGUAAUGUCUGGGAAACUGCCUGAUGGAGGGGGAUAACUACUGGAAACGUUAGCUAAUACCGCCUACCAUCGUAUGUUCCCCGCUUGGAUUAGCUAGUAGGUGUGGUAAAGUCUCCCCUAGGCGACGAUCCCUAGCUGGUCUGCGAGGAUGACCAGCCACACUGGAACUGAGACACGGUCCAGACUCCUACGGGAGGCAGCAGUGGGGAAUAUUGCAGAAUGGGCGCAAGACUGAUGCAGCCAUGCCGCGUGUAUGAAGAAGGCCUUCGGGUUGUAAAGUACUUUCAGCGGGGAGGCGUUACCCGCAGAAGAAGCACCGGCUAACUCCGUGCCAGCAGCCGCGGUAAUAC